rnacentral:pre_miRNA from 12 species
AUGAGUGCUAAUCGUCGAUACUCGAAGGAGAGGUUGUCCGUGUUGUCUUCUCUUUAUUUAUGAUGAAACAUACACGGGAAACCUCUUUUUUAGUAUCAAAUCCCACCCUGGAGGCA